rnacentral:rRNA from 1 species
AUUGAACGCUGGCGGCAGGCCUAACACAUGCGAGUCGAGCGGAUGAAGGGAGCUUGCUCCUGGAUUCAGCGGCGGACGGGUGAGUAAUGCCUAGGAAUCUGCCUGGUAGUGGGGGAUAACGUCCGGAAACGGGCGCUAAUACCGCAUACGUCCUGAGGGAGAAAGUGGGGGAUCUUCGGACCUCACGCUAUCAGAUGAGCCUAGGUCGGAUUAGCUAGUUGGUGGGGUAAAGGCCUACCAAGGCGACGAUCCGUAACUGGUCUGAGAGGAUGAUCAGUCACACUGGAACUGAGACACGGUCCAGGCUCCUACGGGAGGAAGCAGUGGGGAAUAUUGGACAAUGGGCGAAAGCCUGAUCCAGCCAUGCCGCGUGUGUGAAGAAGGUCUUCGGAUUGUAAAGCACUUUAAGUUGGGAGGAAGGGCAGUAAGUUAAUACCUUGCUGUUUUGACGGUACCAACAGAAUAAGCACCGGCUAACUUCGUG